GACGGAGGAGGCUAGCGUUGUUCGGAAUUAUUGGGCGUAAAGGGCGCGUAGGCGGCUUUGCAAGUGACGGGUGAAAUCCCUCGGCUUAACCGAGGAACUGCCUGUCAAACUGCAUGGCUUGAGACCGGGAGAGGUGAGUGGAAUUCCCAGUGUAGCGGUGAAAUGCGUAGAUAUUGGGAGGAACACCAGUGGCGAAGGCGGCUCACUGGACCGGUACUGACGCUGAUGCGCGAAAGCGUGGGGAGCAAACAGG
rnacentral:rRNA from 1 species